UACAAAAAUCAGAAAAUAAUGGAGGGGGGGGGUUGAGGGAAGUCCAUACAUCCCUCACCUCUCAAACUUGACUGAAAAAAAGAAAAUGAGCAUACAGCCAGAAUACACCAUGGUUUUGCUCUCCCUAUGGCAUCCUGCUUCAAUUUAUUCUAAAUGGAUUCCGAGCCCAGAAAGAGGACAAAAAUGCUCAAGGAAGAGAACUAGCAGAAACUCUGGUGGCUGUCGAACGUUAAGUAACUGGAAGAGUGGCCAUGCCCCUGGAGAAGAGCAGGAGACUGGAGAGCCUGACCCACAGUUCAGAGGAAAAGAAUUCCCAGUGGAGCAUCCCACCAGCACAGCCGCCUUGCUGGAGCCCAAACCCAAGCUCAGCUGUGUUAUUUACCCCACGAGGUCCCAGCUGUCAACCUGGCCUGGCAUCCUGACAGCCUACGGCACAAAUGCCCUCAGCCAGCUGCUUGGCUCAGUGUACAAUUCUCUCUUUUUAAAUGAGAUUAGCGUCGGUGAAAUGUGCUAGCUCAACGGGCAUGCUCAUCCAAUCCUCUGUUUAUUCGGGCUACAGCAGAUACAAUGAUCACUUAAAAAAAAAAAAAAAAAAGACACAAUUUUAAAAGAUGCCAUGGAUUCGCCUUGGCUCCUGCAGUUGCUCACUCAUCACAGAAUGAAAAGGGUUUCUUACAGAUCUGCUGGGAAGUGAGGACUGGAAAGGAUAAAUCUUCAAACUGUGUAAGUCUAUAAACUUAGCCACCUACCUCCUUGAGACUAAUGUGAAGAAUCUACUUGUCAACAAAAAACCCAACAGAUUCUUCUGGCUUCCUAUCCAUUUCAGUCAUCAGGUACCUCUGCUGCCACCAAAAUUAUUAAAAAGAAUGGGUGGGGGGGGAUAUGUUAAAUAUCGGGGGACAGGUACAAAGGAGCCAAUAACAACGAGGAACUGCCAUAAGUAUGGAUAAGCAAAAUGUCUUUUGGUUAUGCUUUAAAAAAACAAUGAAAGCCUGUGAAGUUAAAGUUGAAACAGCUGAAGUCCUGUGUUCACUGCAAGGAUGUCAAACGUUAUUGCCAUGAAUAAGCAAUUCCUUGUUUAGAAUGCCUUUUUAAGCAGAAAGAUGAAGAUUUGAGUCAGUGUGUUUCACAGACACUGCCAGCUCGGAAGGGACGAGCGCGCCUCAGAGCGCCGUACCGACGCUGUGCGAGCCGGUCUCCAGCUGCACACAGCGGGGCCAUUACCGUGCGCUGUCACCCUGUGCCAUUAAAAGCUCUUUAACCUGCCGAUCGCCGCCGCGAUACGCGGCUCCUGCCGGGGAUCUGCUGACUAACAGGCCGGCGAAAACCCCCGGCCCUCGGGGUCGCCUGAAAAACACGGCCGGGCUGCCCGUCAGGCAAUCGCGGCAACUCAAUUAAUGCAUCUGGGUCAGGAGAAUGGUUCGCGGGAGCCUGAGCCCGGUUACGAAACGCGGGUACCGCGGCCGGGGCGAGGGCAGCCCCCGCUGCGCGCAGGUACCGGCGGCGCUGGGGCGGCAUCGCCCGCGCCCCGAGGAGGGACGCGGGUGCGGCGGGGACAGUCCGGCCGUGGGGACACGGUCCGGCGGAGGGGACACGGUCCGGCCGGCCAGAGGGGCGGCGGGGAGCGGCCAGGCUAUGGAGGCUUUCGGGGAGACCCCUGCAACUUUCCCCCGCGGGGGCUCGCGGGGACGUGCUCGCGGCGAGAGGAGGCAAAACCCAUCAUUUUUUAUACGCAGAAAUGUGUGUGUGUAUAUGUGCGAGCUCAUAUAUAUAUAUAAAUGUGUGUGUGCACGCAGAUCGUGUUCCGGCGGACAUGCCCCGUCCCCGCUCCCCAGCGGUGCCGCCCCGGCGGAGCCGCGCUGCGGAGCCCCCUGUGCCCCCCGCCCCGGGCAGGUGGGGGCCGGGGGGUGCCCGGCCGUGCCCAGCGGUCCCCGUGUGCCCGCGCCGCACUCACCCAGAACACGAAGGAGUAGAUGAUGAGGAGGGUUUUCAGACACGUUAUCACGGGUUUGGUCUCCAUUCUCCUCGAUGCCAUAAUA